rnacentral:rRNA from 1 species
GACGAACGCUGGCGGCGUGCUUAACACAUGCAAGUCGAACGGUAAGGCCCCUUCGGGGGUACCCGAGUGGCGAACGGGUGAGUAACACGUGAGCAACCUGCCCUUGACUCUGGAAUAACAGUUGGAAACAGCUGCUAAUACUGGAUAUUCAUCGUCUCCUUCCUGGGGGGUGGUGGAAAGCUGCGGCGGUCUGGGAUGAGCUCGAGGCCUAUCCGCUUGUUGGUGAGGUAAUGGCUCACCAAGGCGUCGACGGGUAGCCGGCCUGAGAGGGCGACCGGCCACAGUGUGACUGGGAAACGGCCCAGACGCAUACGGGAGGCAGGGGCGGGGAAUAUUCGACAAAGGGCGGAAGCAGGAUGCAGCAACGCCGCGUGCGAGAUGACGGCUUUCGGGGUGGAAACCGCUUUUAGUAGGGACGAAGGGUGACUGACGUUACCAACAGAAGAAGGACCGGCUAACUACGU